UACGGGGGGGGCAAGCGUUGUUCGGAAUUAUUGGGCGUAAAGGGUAGGUAGGUGGUCUCAUUUGUCUGGGGUGAAAGCCUUGAGCUUAACUCAAGAAGUGCCCCAGAAACGGUGAGACUAGAGUCCUGGAGAGGGUCGUGGAAUUCCCGGUGUAGCGGUGAAAUGCGCAGAUAUCAGGAGGAACACCGGUGGCGAAGGCGGAUCUCUGGGCCUGUCCUGACGCUCAGGCGCGAAAGCUAGGGGAGCAAACAGG
rnacentral:rRNA from 1 species